rnacentral:rRNA from 1 species
UACAGAGGUCCCAAGCGUUGUUCGGAUUUAUUGGGCGUAAAGGGUGCGUAGGCGGCGGAGUAAGUUGGGUGUGAAAUCCCGGGGCUCAACCUCGGAAUUGCAUUCAAUACUGCUUCGCUCGAGUACUGGAGAGGAGGCUGGAAUUUACGGUGUAGCAGUGAAAUACGUAGAUAUCGUAAGGAAGGCCGGUGGCGAAAGCGAGCCUCUGGAUAGUUACUGACGCUGAUGCACGAAGGCCAGGGGAGCAAACGGG